CAAUAGCGUAUAUUAAAGUUGUUGCAGUUAAAAAGCUCGUAGUUGGAUUUGUGGUGUACUUCGGCGGCCCGUCACUAUGUGAUGGAGCUUGCUGAAGUCGCCAUCCUUGGGUGGAUCCUGUGUGGCAUUAAGUUGUCGUGCAGGGGAUGCCCAUCGUUUACUGUGAAAAAAUUAGAGUGUUCAAAGCAGGCUUAUGCCGUUGAAUAUGUUAGCAUGGAAUAAUAAGAUAGGACCUUGGUACUAUUUUGUUGGUUUGCGCACCAAGGUAAUGAUUAAUAGGGACAGUUGGGGGUAUUCGUAUUUCAUUGUCAGAGGUGAAAUUCUUGGAUUUUUGAAAGACGAACUACUGCGAAAGCAUUUACCAAGGAUGUUUNCAUUAA
rnacentral:rRNA from 1 species